rnacentral:snRNA from 1 species
GGAUUCUUCCACCUUGUUGCAUAACCACAUCUGUCACCCCAUUGAUCGCCAGGGUUGAUUGGGCUGAUCUGGCUGGCUAGGCGGGUGUCCCCUUCCUCCCUCACCGCUCCAUGUGUGUCCCUCCCGAAGCUGCGCGCUCGGUCGAAGAGGACGACCAUCCCCGCUAGAGGAGGACCGGUCUUCGGUCAAGGGUAUACGAGUAGCUGCGCUCCCCUGCUAGAACCUCCAAACAAGCUCUCAAGGUCAGACUAAUUUCAAAGAUAGCUCAGAGAUGCUUAUUCUGGGAAUACGCUGUUAUUU